ensembl:lncRNA
AUGAUUUCAGGCUUCUUUUGAUAUUCAGGUCUCUGUGGGUAAGAAGUAAACACGAGGAUUUCAGAAGAAUGAAUCUUUGCUCUUCUUUCCUUGGUGUACUCCCUUUUCAGAAUCAUUGUUUCAGAGAACUCUAAAUGUGAACAUGUGAAAAAUGCUGUCUGAGGCGCAAUCUCUUUGGUAGUGGCAUGAUCUAUUGGAAAAAGUUAGCAAAUGUUAAAAUAUUCGAGUACCACUGUUAAAGCUUCCUUACGUUUUAUAUAGUUGUUUGUUCAGUGAAUGCAAUACAGUGAGAUAUGAUUCUAUCCCCUUGUUUUCUUCAGCUCAUUCUGUAAUGACAGGUCUGCAAUGAUAUUUCUGAACUUUUGCUCUUUUACUCAGAUCAGGACGUGCAUACCCGAUGUCUCUGGGGUUUCAGGUGGGAGUAAUUUUCUACUCAAAAGAGAGUAGCAUUUAAAUAUUACUCAGCUAAAUAGCUGAUUUUCCCAAUCUCUUCCUAAAUAUGAUUAGUCUUGCACUCAAAUGCAAAGCAUGUCUACUAUGAAUGCCAAUCAGUCAAGUAAGUAUGCUGGAGAAGGAGGGAAAACAGUGAAAGUUGUCAUUUAUUGUUAUGAAUGCAUGCAAACUGGAGUAAAAAUGAAAUUUGUCAUCAGUUCAUUAGCUUAAUUUUUACUGGAUCUGAGCUAUUGCAGCCACUAUUAUAAUGGAGGUGUCGUAACUGUUAUCACAUUUGUAUAUGGAGUCUGUUCUAAUCCCUCUUAGUUUAAUUUCUAUAUUUCCAGAUGAAUCAAUCUGUUUUACCUCUUGUACAGACCUGUCAAUGCCUUUCAACUCACAGCUAUGUCCCUGCACCUGUAUUAUAACACAUUUAUCUCACAAACCUAAUCCAUUAGAGGAUGUCAAUACAUAUGUUAGACUUAAAGACUUCCUAACUGCUGUUACGUUGUAGUAGUCUCUGUUGUUCUGAAUUUGCACAUUGGAAACAUUUUCUCCUGUCUGUGUGAGGAGAUGCUUUGCUCUGUUUUUUUUCCCUAUAGGCCUAUUGUACCUUGCAUGCUAUAUUUCCACUAUCGAGUUUGGCAGGUGUAGCUUGCAGGCUUAUAAAUGAUUUGUUAAGAAAUUACCUGGAGACUAUUGUGUCUGAUGCAAAUAUAAACACGUCAGCUGCAGUUUUCCUCUUACAAAGGAGAUGGCAAAAAGGCAGCCCUUGAAAAACUGAGAAAAAUGCAUAGCUCCUUUAUAUGUUAAGCAAGACAACUUUCCUGGGAUUGCAGCCACUGGCACUGUGACACAUAGCAGAAUUCUGAAGCAAAUCUUUAUCAGAGAUAAAUACUGUCUGGGAACAGGUGCUCCACUGGAGCAAAUUCUCAUAGCUUCAACAGAGCAGUGGUGGCUGAUCCCAGCAAGGAAUCUGGUCCACUUUUGAGAAGGAAAGGUUUUCCCAAACUGUUUGAUCUCAACACUUGGGCUUUCAUGUUGCCUUGCCCUGGUGAUUAGUUUAGGACUGUAAUCCCUAGACCACCCGGUUGUACAAACCUGAGCAAGUGUAAGCAGUGUGCUGUUAGCAGUGAACUCUGAUGGCCAGUUUCAUCGGAGGAAAGGGAAUGUGGUCCCUUGGAUUGCCUCGCAAAUGGAAACCUUCAGGAGGCAUGAACAUACUUCUAUCUACUAGGAAUGCUACUAGGAAUAGGCCACCUAUUCAAAAGGUGACUGGAGUACACAAAAAGUAAAAACUUGGAAAACAAGACUCAAGGAAGGGAAGAGAAAUGUAAGACAACACUUAGCACUGCUGACUUGUUAAACAUAGUUCUCUCUAAUUUAUGCUGAAGCAAGCCCAGGUCUAUCCUACCUGAAUUUUCUGUCUUUGUUUACAAAGUAACUUGUAUACUUUCUUCUUGACAUAAACUAUGGUAUGUCCGUAGUUAUGCAGCACUUGCAAACAAAAGUGAAACUUUUCCAUCUAGUUCUUUUUGAAUUUGUGGGGUUGUCAAUAUGACUUACGAUAUGAUGCAACUUUUUGUGUCUUGAACGGCAGUAAGUGGCAUCUAUCUAUCUAUCUGGUGUGGAUAUUCAUAGGAAGAGUGAAUUAGAAUGUAGUGACACAAAAGUAAUUUUCACCUCAAUCUCAGUAAAUAAAGCAAAUCUGUCUUCUGUAGGUCAUACUUCUCCUGCUUUGUCUGCCUCAGAGAAUAAAAAUUGAAUUGUUCAAGUGAAAUUAGAACAUCAUGGCCUUGACCUGAACAGGAAUGAAAAAACUCAAAACCAUUCCCCUUCUCCUAUCACCAGCUGAGCACAUAAAAAGUCAGUCUCCUUCCUGCUUUUAAGUUCCCUUUAAGUACUGAAAGGUCGCAACUGAGAUCUCCCCGCAGCCUUCUCUUCUCCAGGCUGAACAAGCCCAGCUCCCUCAGCCUGUCUUCGUAGGUUCUACAUCAAGGUAAUCCAACAGUUUAUAGUGGAUCAUUCCUGACCCUUCCUGAUUUGACUAUAUUUCAUAAUGAGAACCAUGUAAGCCAAACACAUAAUGCGUGAUCCAGAAAUGGCUGACUUGGGGAAAUAACUACACUGAUGAUGAACAUCUGUUUUUGAUAUAAAAAUAUUGGGGCAUUUUUGGAAGGAAAAGCUUAUCUUUUGGCUUUUGAUACUCUGCACAAUUUCCGUUCCAUUCAUCAGACCAAUAAAUCUCUGCUAAUUUGCUCCGAAAUAAUGAAGCCGUAAUAAUGAGAAGCUUGACUACAGCAUAUGCUCUAUCAUUGAAAGGCAAGAAGAGUCCACAAAUGCUGUUUUUUUUUCAAAUAAUGAGGAGCCCUAUUCAGGCAGUCCCUGUAAGAAUGCUUAAGUUCCCAGCACCAGUGGAUAACACAGACCUGUCUCCUUUUCCUGGAAAGCAAGAGAUCAGACUGGGAUGCAGACAUAAAACUCCUCUACACCAGUGCUCUCCAGAAAGCAAUUUGGUUUUCUUUUAUUGCUCUACACAUUCCACAAGAACGUUGAGUUUGAACAGGCUUUUUGCUGUGUCUGCGCGUUGAUUUUGUAUUUAUUUUAAUAGUGUGCCUGGUGAUUUUUGCCUGAAUCUAACUAAUGCAUUUGUAAGGUGCUAGCUAGUGUAAUAAAUAAAUAGAUGGCAACCAGCAGAGUGUUGCUGUAAGAGAAGAGAUGAGGCUUGCUGUUUCUGCAAGCAGCUCUCAUUUGUUACUUCAGAGCAAAAAUUGAGCAUAGGAAUUAACAUAAAAGAUCAGUUCAGCCUUUGUGAUACCCUUGUAUUCUGCCUCCUUAAGCUCCUGUGACCCUGGGCACUUCAUACACAAUCCAAAGUGUCUGUGUUGGUGAUCAUGUGAUGUGAGUUUGGGUGUUUUUUGUUGUUUUACUUUGGUUUUGGUUUGUUCUCUUAACCUCAGCGACCAGGUUGACCAAUUACCUGGAAGGAAAAAGAUGUUUUGUGGCCCAUCAAUCUUCUGGAGAUUGUAGUAUUUUUUCCAGCAUACUUUUGGACGUUCUUGAGAACCACAAAAGGGAGAUCUGCUUUUAAUACCCUUGCUGGGGAGAGGAGUGGUAUUUUUUGCUUCUAAAAGCCUUUAUGCCGCUGGUUGUAAUUUGAAGCUUAAAAACAGCAGGCUUAGAAAUAUUUCAAAGCUCUCUAGAGGGCAGAGCCUGCUACUGGAGGCUUAUGGACAGAUUUUUGCUACCAGGUAUGAUAUCAAUCAAGAAUUCCAUUGAUUGCAGUGCUAUUACUCUGGCAUAACCAGGAGCAGAAUGUGACCCUCAGUUUAAUUUCUGAUACGGCUCCUGGAUUUAUUGGAGCUGUGCAUCUCUGCAGGACCUUUCCUGCCUUUGCUGCAGCGGCAGCUUGAUGUAAAUCAGAUUUCCUUGCAGCUGAAAAGAGUACUGAUUAUAUAUGAAGCUCUAACAACAUUUGCUGGAGUUCUAUGUUCCUGGGACCGGCUUAGGCAUUCAACCAGCUUAUCCUUCUGCCUGUGACCCGAAGUAAGAGAAAAGUGUUUUACAGUAGUAAUAAAGAGAUUACGUUAGAUGAAGUUAUUUUCAGUAGCUAUAUCAGGAAGAUUGAGAGUCAAUUAUUCUGGUCAGGUUCAUCUUUAGGACACAAGCAAAGAAGAGGGCUGAGACAUUUAUACUGUACUAGCAAAAAAAGAUUUAAAGAUACUGUGUUUGCACUGACUACUUGGGCCUUAGCACAGGGAAUAACUCUGGAAUAACUCUUGGGGAUGUCAGUGCUCAUAUUUUGGGAGCUGGAGAAUAUUGCUUCCAUCUCUUUUUGGGUGCUUCCUGACUUAUUUGUCUCUUACUCAGCAGAAAAAAAAAAAAGCAGGCUCUGUGGCCUUUGUCACGUGUCACAGUGAAUAUUUGGUAGGGAGAACAGCACUGAGGCUCCUGAUGGUAUUCCUGGGAUGUUUUGUAAACUUCUCUUCUGUUAUAAAAUCUGCUUUCAGAAAACUUUUCAGUGUUCUCUACUGAUCCCACAGAAAUACUGAUGUAUCUCUUAUCUCUCUUUUUUUUUUUUUCUGCAAAGGGAAAUGUUGCUUGAAGAGAUGCUAUAUGCAAUGGCAUGUCAUUCUGCUACCUAUUUUUAAAUAUUCACAUAGACCACAUGUAUUGGAAGGAAAGAUGUCUAUUCUGAGACAGCUGAAUGAGCAAAUUCCUUUUUAAAAGAAACUGAUGAUCACCUGCAGAUGGGGCUGUGCCAUUGGAAGCCAUUGUAAAUCAGAAGCUGUUUCGCUGAACUUCUUACUGGAGCUGUGCAGCACCAUUGCAGAUGAGGAGAUAAUUGUGCCUAAUACACAGUCUUGUUGGCUACCAGCAGCAAACUCAUAUUUCGAGAGUGUGGAGCCUUGCCUGGGGAUUUUUCUUCCCUAUCUUCACCACUGAGUCAUUUAGCUGGCUUUUGGGAUGGAGCUGUUCCUCUGCUCAAGACAAAUUAAAUUGAGGCUCAAUUUUAUCACAGAAUCAUAGGCACUGGAAGGGACCUCUGAACAUCAUCUGCUAAACAUAGUGUAUCUGUUUGGUCACAGGUUAGCUGUACCUCUGCACAUGUGGGAUCAUGGAAGCUGGAGAGGUGGUGGCACCCUGUUGGGCACAGUGACUGAAAAGCGUGAGGGGUUGGCCUGAGUACCAUCUUUCAUGCUUGAAAUGGUCGUCUGGAAAGACCCUCAGGCCUUAUGUCCUUAGUGAGGCAAUUGGUGAAGGCCAGAUUUUGCUCUGGCUGAAUUCAUGCAAGUCUACUGAUUUCAAAAGAGGCAUGUGCAGAACUGCUAUCCACAGCCAUAUCAGAUUAAUAUUAGAUGCACAUUGUCUGUUAUAGUAUAUUCAGAAGUUAAUUUCCAUCUGAUUCACACAUUAGAAAAUGCCAGAUUUUGAAUGUUCUCUGAUGGAUUUAAUAACACUUUAUCAUCAUCAAAUGUCUCUCAAAUGCUAAUCAAGGCAGAAGAAAUAAUAAACAUCUCUUCCAAUUAAUCUAUAUGAAAAAAUCUGUUCAAUCAAUAAAACUGAAAAAGAAUCUAAUAAUGUGGGAUGAAUCAAGAAGAGUGAGGCUUUUCACCUCAAUAUCACUGGCUGAUAUGGUCAUAGAAUCACAGAAUAUCCCUAGCUAGAAAGGACCCAUGAGGUCCAUUGAGUCCAACUCCUGGCUUCACACAGGACCACCCAAAAUCCAAACCUCAUGUCUGAAAGCAAUGUCCAAAUGCUCCUUGAACAUCAACAUCUUGAGGCCAUGCCCACUGCCCUUGGGAGCCUGUUCCAUGCCCCACCACUCUCUGGGGAAGAACCUUUUCCUGCUCCUCCCCUGACACAGCUCCAUGCCAUUCCCUCAGGCCCUGUUGGUGUCACAGAUAGCAGAGCCCAGCGCUGCCCCUCCACUCCCCUCCUGAGGGGCUGCAGCUGCCAUGAGGCCUCCCCUCAGCCCCUCUGCACUGGACUGAACAAUCUAGGGAUCUCAGUCCCUCCUCAUACAUCUUGCCCUCCAGACCCUUCACCAUCUUCAUAGCCCUCCUUUGAAUGUUCUCUAGUAGUUCUGUCUCUCUGGUCUCUGCUUUUGGUACAGUCUUUGUGUACAGGCUUUGCAUUUAUAUAGGCCAUUUGUGGGUUGCCCUAGAGAGAACAGACAGAUCUCAAAAAUUCACUUGAGAACAGAAAAUAUGCAGCACUGAGCUCCCAUCUGCUGCCUCACAGAAAUGUUGUGCUCUAUGGUAAUGUUCCACACUGUGGUAUUAACACAGCUGAAAACUGUAAUGGAUGCGCCAAUGACUGCAGGAUGGUGGUAGUUGUUUUUAACAGGCACUUAUGUGCUUAAUGUGAUGCAAUUGUUAACAUAGGAUUUCUAAACAGAAAUAAAUGCACUCACUAGUACAGCCUUGAUAAUUGCUCCAAAAAAAAAAAAAAAGAAAAAAAAAGAAAAAAAAGAGGAUUUUCAACUUUUUUUUUUUUUUUUUAG